rnacentral:rRNA from 1 species
UACGUAGGCAGCAAGCGUUGUCCGGAUUUACUGGGCGUAAAGAGCGCGCAGGCGGUCGUUUAAGUCGAAUGUGAAAGCCCCCGGCUCAACUGGGGAGGGUCAUUCGAUACUGAUCGACUUGAAGGCAGGAGAGGGAAGUGGAAUUCCGGGUGUAGUGGUGAAAUGCGUAGAUAUCCGGAGGAACACCAGUGGCGAAGGCGACUUCCUGGCCUGUUCUUGACGCUGAGGCGCGAAAGCUGGGGGAGCAAACGGG